rnacentral:rRNA from 1 species
AUGGCGCACCCACCGCCGCUUCUCUCUUCUCCACCAACCUCCGUCGCUUUGAUCCAGGCCGAGUAUCCGCAAAGCCGCUGCUCUGUCCUCAACCCAGCUCUGUCGCUCCGCUCGACACCGGGCAUCUCCGCAGCGACGCUCCAUGGCGAGAUUGGUCGCCGCCCCCUCCGUGAAAUUCACGGCGAUUUGGGGACUAGAAUAGUUCGUGGUCAUGAAUAUGUUACUUUCCUUCUUUCUGCUCCCGCCUGUGUGUACAUUAACGCUUUAGGGGCACAGAAGCAUGAUUCUAGGAAACAGAAAAUGGUUUGGAGGUCUGACCAGCCUUGCCGCUUCUACAUGAUUGAUGGAUCUUGCAAGUAUGGUUCAGACUGUUGGUUCUCUCAUGGACUUGACUCAUUUGGGAGGAUAGAGAUGCAAAUCAGGGUUGCCCCACCAGCCUACAAUCCAAAUGUGAUGGAUUUCAAUAGUGAAACUCGUAUUUAUAUCACCUUCUCUGCUCAAAGUAGAGAAAUAUGCACUGAAUCAAAGGUCCGUUCGUAUUUCAGCCAUUUUGGGCCUGUCAUGUCUGUGACUAUUCCGCAUGGAAGGUCAUAUGGUUUUGUGAGAUUCAUGCUCCCUGGGACAGUGAGGCUGCUUUUAUCAAACUAG